UACAGAGGGUGCCAGCGUUGUUCGGAAUUAUUGGGCGUAAAGGGCGCGUAGGCGGUCGCGUGUGUCGGGUGUGAAAGCCCACCUCUUAAAGGUGGAAUUGCAUUCGAAACUACGUGACUAGAGUACCGGAGAGGAUGGUGGAAUUCCUGGUGUAGAGGUGAAAUUCGUAGAUAUCAGGAGGAACACCGGUGGCGAAGGCGGCCAUCUGGACGGAUACUGACGCUGAGGCGCGAAAGCGUGGGGAUCAAACAGG
rnacentral:rRNA from 1 species